rnacentral:rRNA from 1 species
AUUGAACGCUGGCGGCAGGCCUAACACAUGCAAGUCGAGCGGAGCGGCGGACGGGUGAGUAAUGCCUAGGAAUCUGCCUGGUAGUGGGGGCUAACGUCCGGAAACGGGCGCUAAUACCGCAUACUCUCAGAUGAGCCUAGGUCGGAUUAGCUAGUUGGUGGGGUAAAGGCCUACCAAGGCGACGAUCCGUAACUGGUCUGAGAGGCUGAUCAGUCACACUGGAACUGAGACACGGUCCAGACUCCUACGGGAGGAAGCAGUGGGGAAUAUUGGAAAAUGGGCGAAAGCCUGAUCAAGCCAUGGCGGGUGUGUUAAGAAGGUCUUCGGAUUGUAAAGCACUUUAAGUUGGGAGGCGUUACCAACAGAAUAAGCACCGGGUAACGUCGGGCGAGCCGCCGCGGUAAGAC